GGCGGACGGGUGAGUAACGCGUAAGGAACUUGCCUCUUGGUCUGGGACAACUGUUGGAAACGACAGCUAAUACCAGAUAUUAUGAGAUUCUCGCAUGAGAAACUUAUGAAAGCUAUAUGCGCCAAGAGAGAGCCUUGCGUUCCAUUAGCUAGUUGGUGGGGUAACGGCCCACCAAGGCGACGAUGGAUAGCCGGCCUGAGAGGGUGAACGGCCACAAGGGGACUGAGACACGGCCCUUACUCCUACGGGAGGCAGCAGUGGGGAAUAUUGGACAAUGGGCCACAAGCCUGAUCCAGCAAUUCUGUGUGCACGAUGAAGGUCUUCGGAUUGUAAAGUGCUUUCAGUUGGGAAGAAGAAAGUGACGGUACCAACAGAAGAAGCGACGGCUAAAUACGUGCCAGCAGCCGCGGUAAUACGUAUGUCGCAAGCGUUAUCCGGAUUUAUUGGGCGUAAAGCGCGUCUAGGCGGAAAAAUAAGUCUGAUGUUAAAAUGCGGGGCUCAACUCCGUAUUGCGUUGGAAACUGUUUUUCUAGAGUACUGGAGAGGUGGGCGGA
rnacentral:rRNA from 1 species